AAUCUUUGCUGCUUCUGGGACGAGCUGCUGCUGCUGUGAUCUGCCUUCUGCCGGUGGGCAGCUGCGUCGGCGCCGGAACCGUUGGGAGAGGCGCCGGCGCUGGAUCGUGAGCUGCUGGAUCGCCGCGCUGCUGGAUCGCUGGAUCGUGAGCUGCUGCUGGAUCGUGCUGCGUCUGCUGGAUCGCCGCGCUGCUGGAUCGAGAAAUCGUCGAGAAGACCUGAGCUGCUGUCGACGGACCUGAGCUGCUGGAUCGUGCUGUCGACGUGAGAUCGUCGAGAAGACCUGAGCUGCUACAGUUGUUUGCUC
rnacentral:lncRNA from 1 species